AAUUAACCCCUUCCCCCUUUAACCUUAAAGGCCAUCAACUAUGGAAACUUGACAUACCCUAUGACGGCUUCAAAGGGGGCCCACAGUCCCCCUAAUUGUCUCAAGACUUGGAGAAAUGGAUGUUGGAUAUUUGAGUGCAUGAUAAAGGUGGACAUAAGAGAUGUUUUAAAGACACCAACUCCUUCCCAUACUCUUCAACUCCUUCAAGAAAAAUCACCUACACAACUCCCUUCUUCCUUUCUAAACUUUCGGCCAAGAUACCACAAAUCACCAUCAAUUUUUCCUUUCAUUCUCCAAGCAAUCCAAGUGCAUACAAAGGUGUCUCAAGCUCAACUAAGAAGGUUUCAAGUCUCGAAAGUGCAAGGACCACUCAAGGGAGCUUUUAACCACCACAUUCAUCCUCUCAUUCUCUUCUUGUUCAUUUUGCCACUUCCCUAGCCACUAGAGCUAGUUACAAAUAACUUCAAUGGGCAUAUUGGAAAAGGGCUGCAACUGAAGGGACUGGAUAUACAAAAGUUCAGGGGUUCCGAUCGUUUCUGCCUAUUGUGUGGGGUUUGAAGUGUAAUUUCUUUUGCUGCAGAUAUAAAAGAGUUGCACCUGGAUUCGUACACCAUUCCAGCAGUCUGUUUCAUCCUUUUCUCUCUUGUUAUCGAUUAGGGUUUGUUUUUCCUUUCGAGUUCUUGUUGAUCACCUGUUGUGAUCAUUUGUUUGUAUUGGUAUUAAGAUCUUACUAUCGUAAGAUCUAGGGUUCAGUUUGGGGAUUUUUGGUUGGUUAAUAACAAGAUUUCUCCACUGGUUUUGUCGCUA